AGUGAACGCUGGCGGUAGGCCUAACACAUGCAAGUCGAACGGCAGCACAGUAAGAGCUUGCUCUUACGGGUGGCGAGUGGCGGACGGGUGAGGAAUACAUCGGAAUCUACUUUUUCGUGGGGGAUAACGUAGGGAAACUUACGCUAAUACCGCAUACGACCUACGGGUGAAAGCAGGGGAUCUUCGGACCUUGCGCGAUUGAAUGAGCCGAUGUCGGAUUAGCUAGUUGGCGGGGUAAAGGCCCACCAAGGCGACGAUCCGUAGCUGGUCUGAGAGGAUGAUCAGCCACACUGGAACUGAGACACGGUCCAGACUCCUACGGGAGGCAGCAGUGGGGAAUAUUGGACAAUGGGCGCAAGCCUGAUCCAGCCAUACCGCGUGGGUGAAGAAGGCCUUCGGGUUGGAAAGCCCUUUUGUUGGGAAAGAAAAGCAGCAGGUUAAUACCCCGCUGUUCUGACGGUACCCAAAGGAUAAGCACCGGCUAACUUCGUG
rnacentral:rRNA from 1 species